GUACAGUUAGUUAAAUCAGCGACAACCUUUCGUACCUUUUCUCGAAUGUUUUAACACUACGAUUGUGCUUGUUUUCGCCAGAGCACGCGCAUGCGUUAUUCAGCACUGUCCCUAUAGCCAUUGUAAGUAAUCGUGUCUUCUCUCUUUAUCUGGAAUUGCCCGUGUUCCAGGUUUUUCCGUCAUGUCAGCAGGCUCAAACUAAUACAACUUUUCACAAGAGUUUGCAUCUGAUCGCAACUAAGCAGCUGAGUCCGAAGUGAAAAUGAUAGGUAAGCAAUUCAAGUUUCAUUCAUUCAUGCAUUUGGAUGAUUUUUCGUACCAGGAAAGCAAACUGAAAUCACAAUUCAAUUCCUUUUUUGCAUACAAACAAACAAACGUUGUUUCGCAGCUGGACUAUCAAGCAGUCUCCCUGGAGCUCGAUAGCCUUUGCCUUGAAUCUUUUAGUAGAGUUCCCAGAUAAGCUUAUUACAUAUCUUGAACACAUGUUUUCACUUUUUUGUCUUUGUGAUAAUGGCGCCCAAGAUUUCUUGCUCGAAGUCAUUGCAAGCAAAGUCAGUGGGAAAACUUAACAUGUUAGGACCACAUGUGUCAAUGGCAACUGAGUCUCACGUGAGAAUGCUAGUUUCAGAUCAAGACAAACCUAGCGGAAAUUUAGGAGUGUGCUGGCGUGGUCACCUCUCUAGUCUCCUGCGCAGCCGUCUAUCACCACUCACGAGCAGCAACAUGCCUAGCCUAGCACACGUGAUCUUGAGUUCCUCACGGGAAGCCUGGAUUCUUUUAUUAUUACAAAGCAAGAACUACUAGCGAGUUUUUUUAACAAAUGGACUCGACUAGGCCAAGUUAACAAAUACAAAUAUUCGUCCUCGCCGGCGUCAUUUUUUUUAGGGCCGAUUCAAAAUUUCAACAUUUGCUAAUUUUCAAACUCCUAUAAUUAACCUUUUUUCGCGAUUUUAGACGUUCCCUUAGCCUUCGUCAGUGAAAAACUCCAUUCGUAUUUGCUUUUGUUGGCGUUAUGAUAUGGAGCCAGUCAAAAAAAUCCUUUUGGAGGUCCAUUGUGGAUAGAUCAAUAAUAAUGGUACAGGAAAUACAGGAAAUACAAAUAAAAGCUACCCGCCCCACUUUCUCCUCGCCGUUCCGCCGCGCCGCCUCGCUCUUUCGCGUCUCAUAACGCUGCCCGCGUCGCCUUGCUUCUCGAGGAUUGCCCGCUCGUUUUUUUUUUUUUUUUUCCUAGAAAUGCGGUUGGGAAACGUUUGUUUUAUUUUACUUGGCAAAUUAAAUACAAUGGGUAUAUCGAUUUGCUAUAAUGUAUGGCGUUGUUAGAUGGUACUCCAUCUCUAUUUCCAUUUGUAUUUUAUAACGUCUGAGUUAACGUCCUAGGGGAAUAUAUGUAUUGAUCCGCCGCUCAUGUGAUUUAAUUAUUUUACUGCAAUGGUGUAAUGGUAAAAUGACCGUUUAUUUCAUUCAAAAUAAAAUUAGAACUCUAAUGUAAUACAAUGGAAUAUGAGUUCUUCUUGAAAGUAAUGCACAACAAAGCCGGUUGAGGGGUUGUAUUUACAAUAGAGUAGUGAACAAUGGCCGGCGAAUCGCGCGCGAGCCGAAUAAGGAACAAACGGCAAUUAAGAAGCGGGCGCGCUAAAGAAAUAGUUAUUAUCUAUGCAAAGGAUAGUUUCUCGAUUAUACCCAGGUAAGCUAUGCAGCUAGAGAGAAAAUGAUUCUGUUCUACUUCUGGGUGCGCGAGUCUUUAGAGCCGUUAUGUAAAGAAGCCGACGUAGUGGGGAGGUGAAAAUGCCUGAGACACUUAAAUGUAUGUUGGUUGAUGUCGAUAAGAAUGCGCGAUUCAUUUUCUCCGGAUACAGAUUUAGAAUCUAGUUUUUUAUUUACUCCAAUGGGAAAAUAUACCUGACUUUUAUAAGGGUGGAUAUCUUCGCCGCUCAUAUUCACCGGAACUGUUGAUUUCUCAUAAACUUACGCUUCGUUACCGGUGUGCCAAGCAUGUAAUCUGUUGCAUGUGAUUUUAAACUCAAACCCAUCGCUUGGCUGUUCUAAAUAAAUGUGGAAGGUCUUUUUUAAUUCAGAAAAUUUAAGUUUAGGCUAAAAAUAUCGGAUAAGUAAAAUGACAAUACUAGAUCAGUACGAAGC